rnacentral:rRNA from 1 species
CCUACGGGAGGCUGCAGUGGGGAAUAUUGCACAAUGGGCGCAAGCCUGAUGCAGCCAUGCCGCGUGUGUGAAGAAGGCCUUCGGGUUGUAAAGCACUUUCAGCGGGGAGGAAGGCGGUGAGGUUAAUAACCUCAUCGAUUGACGUUACCCGCAGAAGAAGCACCGGCUAACUCCGUGCCAGCAGCCGCGGUAAUACGGAGGGUGCAAGCGUUAAUCGGAAUUACUGGGCGUAAAGCGCACGCAGGCGGUCUGUCAAGUCGGAUGUGAAAUCCCCGGGCUCAACCUGAGAACUGCAUUCGAAACUGGCAGGCUAGAGUCUUGUAGAGGGGGGUAGAAUUCCAGGUGCAGCGGUGAAAUGCGUAGAGAUCUGGAGGAAUACCGGUGGCGAAGGCGGCCCCCUGGACAAAGACUGACGCUCAGGUGCGAAAGCGUGGGGAGCAAACAGGAUUAGAUACCCUAGUAGUC